rnacentral:rRNA from 1 species
GUGGAUGCCUUGGCGAUUACAGGCGACGAAGGACGUGAUAGCCUGCGAUAAGCUUCGGGGAGCUGGCAAAUUAGCUU